UGCCGCAAUUGCUCUGGACUCUCGGCUUAAACCAUGGCAACACGCCAGGCUAUAGGCCGCGAGAAUAACGCGCGCCGCCCCAGAAGCGGUUAGCGCCGGGACCGAGACUAAAGGGGAGAAGGCCACGAGCUGGGAAAGAGAGGAGGGCCGUCUCUAUAGCAACCCCGCCUCUCCUGUGCUUAAGAGCAAAACCACCGAGCACUGUGGGAAAUGGCAAGGAGUCUGCGCGCAGACUACUGGGUAGCGUAGUCCAGGGAUGGGCGCGUGAUGAGGGCGGAGCGAUGGAGCGCUUGUACCUAGAGUAGGAGCUUCCCGGAGGACGAGUCCACCCAGAGAGAGCUUUGGCCUGGAUCCUCCCCUGGACGGUCAAGCAGGACAGGUGGAAAAGCAGGACUUGCUGAUGGGUGGUUCCCAGGCCGGGCAUCCAAGAAAGGGCGGAGCUCUGCGUGACGUCAGGUCACCUUGGCAGCCGAGGAGCCCCGCCCCCUCCUCCUGGUGGGGGACUUGAGUCACUGCGGGGGAUGAGCUCCCAAUGGUCAUGGGAGGGGUCUCCAUUUUGAAGACCUGGGAGCGUCACGGACCCACCUGAGUAAAGCUCCAGACCGGACAGAGUCGCUUC